GCUAUGGCGUCACCCAGCUACCCAGUCUCUGUUCUCCCCGCUCAGCAAUCAUGCACCUUUUCAUUGUCUCCAGCUUCCCUCCAUUCCCCACCUUUACGCUGUCCAUGACCAAGCCGUCAGGUUGCCAGGCAGCACCUCCCUCCUGAGUUUUAUCUCCGAUGCGACUGUGUUUCCCAACCCCUCACCUCUGAGGGACUGCGGUUUGACCCGCUCAGACCUUUCGCAGAGGGUCUCACUGAGCAAUGGCUGGUGCUGGCUGCACCCAGGAACGUUCAGGAAACCUCACUGCUGCUGAUGCCCAGAGACUGCGGCUGGGUGCCAGCCCCACCCAGAAGAAGUUCAAGCAGUGGUGUAGCAGCAACGUUUCAGGGAUUAUGGUGUCCCAAAGUGUACUCCCUGGACCAGCAGCAUCAGCAUCACCGGGGAAUCUGAGAAACGCAAAUUCUCGGUGCCACCUGAGACCUACUGAAUCAGAAACCCUGGGGGUGUCUCCCCGAACUCCAUGUUAACAAGGCUUCCAGAUGAUUCAGACACAUGCUCCAGGUUGGAAACCACUGUUUCAAUAGACUAUUUUCUUUCUGUAGACUUAUCUCCUUUCCCAAACCACAGCGGAUGAGUUGGAGCACCAAUGCUAAGAAAGAACCAGCCUAUUUCCAUUUUGUUCACUGAUGCAAAAUCAUCUCCUCUGAAGGACACGCCUAGGAACCUACUUCCUGACUCUGAUGAUCUGCUAAUAUUCAAUGCUUUUCACCUGGCUUCUUGCUUGCCUCUCUGGGACCACAUGUGUUGGAUUCUCCGGGCCUGGAGCCAGAGGUCUGGGUGAAUAUCUGUGCAUUUCUGAGUUGACUGAAAGGCUGCAGCAGCCGUAGGCGAAGAAAACCAGGCUGCUUGAGCUCCAUGUUGUUUUUGUCUAGAAUCCAAGUUCCCUCACACUCCACAUGGCUCUUUUCAGUAGAGGAGCCUCUAGCUUUCCGAACUUGGCGUCCCCGUGGAGAGAGCACUAUGUCACUUCACGAUUCUGCCCACUUGCUGUCCUGGAUCUCAGACCUUGCUUUUCAGCAGACUUUGGGUGGGUGUUUGACUUUCUUUUUGGCGAGACAGAGGAAAUGAGCAAGUAUGUGAAAACCUUCGAAUGGCCACUCCCUAAAAGCAGCGAGAAACUCCAGAGAGUCCCACAGACUCUUGUAAAAUGCAGCCUAGAGCUCAGGGAAUGUCUGGAUUUUCUCCCCAGGGAGCUUUUUCACACUUUGGAACAUCCUUGGAGGAAACCACAGGCAUCUGGAAGGCCCUUCUGCAACAGGAGACAUGAGGAGAAACUACCUUCUGACCUACCUCAAUGUUGGAGGCAUCUGUUCCGUUUGCACUUCUCCGCUUCCUGCCCCGUUUGGGGUAGCCAUUGAUCUUACACUCAUAACAAGCCUCCGGGGAGAGAGAAUUGUCAUCCAUUUCACCGCUGGCAGGUGGCUCUGGGCCUCCUCGGCCCAUGCCGAUUCCAGAAACACAGUGCCUGUGGAAGAAGGGAAGCACAGCCCUUUUUCAUUAGAACUGGGAGAUGAGGGAGGUGGUGUAAGAGUUCUGGUGAAGUGUGGACCCCACCUGGUGACACUGAGACAUUGGUUAUUCGUCCAUUAGGUGACUGGCUGGUUCUGAGAGCCACACUGAAGUCCUCUGUGUUUAGGCUCUGAGUCCCAGUUCCUGGAGUGGAUUCCUUUCUACUAUCUCUCAAGGUCCUGUUUUGCAUUUUAUUUGCCCCUACAUUUCUGCCCCCCCCCCCCCCCCCCACUGUACCAGGUGUUUUGCUGUCCUUAUGCUGCUGGGGAGGGGACAUGGAGUAGAAAGAGGAAGAGUGGGGGAUGAGGGAGAUCAUGUGACUUGGGAGGGUAAAGAAAAAUGUCUUCUAUUUAUGAAACAGAAAGUGAGAAAGGUAUGAGAUGUCUGUGUUCAGUUCCUUGUCCUCUUCCUGUUUCAAUGACCCCGUCACCACCACCACCACCACCACCACACUCACCAGCCCUCAUCACUUCAGCUUCUGAGCACUUUCUAUUGUUUGACCACUCAUUUUGGCUGAAGCUACUGAAGGUAUAAAGAAAGUUCUAGGUAGAACUGAAGUUGACUUAGAAAUAAACUGUAAAGAUGUGCAAUGUAUAAAAUGCAUGUAUCAGAGCUUGCCCAACUAUGGGAAAUUGUUUCAAGUCAUUCAAAACCACUAGGGCCAUUGGCUCUGACUCAUGUGAGGCUGGAUAAACAAACCCAUGCCCAAGAGAGAACUAGUUCAGCUGUUUUUCUUUGCCUUUCAGUUAUCAAAGCCAAGUUACGAAGGGAGGCUUGCAUGUUUCACAAGUACCUUGUUUUGUUAUUCUGCUUACUAUUUCAUAGGCCUCUUGGAAUGUAUUUACCAGGCUCCUUUUUCAAAAUGUGUUGAAAUAUCUGAAUGAUCCUAGGAGUCUUUAUUUUGGGGCAGGGUCCACUCUAGUGAUUCAUGGAGAAGCACAAACUAUUAGAAGUGGGUAGAUUUCCACUAAUGGGUCAUAAUGAAGACCAAAUAUUUAUCACUUUUUCUGUAUUAAUUGGCCUAUUUUUAUAACCCAUUUUUCUUGAUGCUCUUGAGAUUCAAAAUAUAAUGCCGAUAAGCAGACUACUUUUUGUGUUUUGCAGCAAUGUAUGGGUUCAUACUAGUUUUUGCAAUCCUGCCAGAGCCCAGUACUUUUCCUUUUUUCUUCCUUUAUCUUGCUGCAUGAAAUGUGCAGAAACAAAAUGGAUGAAAUGAUGACUGCUCAUCGUGUGUGUGUGUGUGUGUGUGUGUGUGUGUGUGUGUCUAUUCACAUAAUGAUUAAGUUAUUAGAAGAAAAAUCCCAAAUUUGCAGGCUUUGGUUCUUUUCUCAGAACUCCUUUCCAGUAUUUUCAUAUCCCUGGAACACCACUUACAAGAAGUGUGACUACAAAGUCCCACUGGCCAGAAGCCAGUUUGGAGUGUCACAAUUUUUGCUGGGAAAAUGGUUCUGGCAUUCAACUUAUAAAGAAUGAGACUACUGAGAGCCAGACACAAACAUCUGGGAAUUUGUGUCCUAUUGCUGGCAUUCUGUGUGCUUCCCAUGAAACAUUCUUUCACCUUCAAGUCUACACAGACCCAAAAUGAAUCGCUUGAUGUUUGUGUGUCAAGAAAUCAAAGGCCAGUACAUUACACUAAUUUGAUAUAUAUAUAUAUGUGUGUAUUAUGGAAUAUGUGAUUUUGUGGGAUGUGUAUGUGUGGCUGUACAUGUGUGUAUGUAUAUUUCACGUCUAUGUGUUCCUAAUGAAAAUGUUAAAAUUUGAGUUCCUUAACAGCAUAGACAACACUACAUGGACAUCCAAUUCUAGAUUAAUUCAGCAGGAAAAAAGGCCUACACUGUGAAAACUUACCACUAAACUUUUAAAUUACUGGGUAAAAAAAAACAAGUCUUUUCUUCCCCAACAGUCACACAUACAAUGUGGUAAAGUAUUCUACCAGGAGGAUACAAUAAUUAUUUUAGCUCUCGUAUUUUAUGCUCUUUUGGUAAUUCUUUAUGUAAACUUAAGUCUGAGAUGUAAAAUGUAUUUUAAAGCCAGGUAUCUUUGUGAUUUCUCCUAACGGUAGCUAGAGGAGAAGGCAUUUUAAGUCAAGAGAGAAUCCUGCUUGCCUCAGGAGAAGGGGAGAUCAGCAAUAUGCAGUGUGAGUCCAGUUCUGUCAUGGGUCAGCCCCUGCAUUUCCAGAGAAAUGAAUCACUUCCCAACAAGAUGCGAAGAUCAAGAGAAUGAGAAAGAGACACCAUAUAUCAAGGGAAAACCAGAAGACACUGUGUGUGUGACACCGGCCAGACGUCUCUACUGGGGACUGCUGGCCAACUGGCUCUCAGCCAGCACUCAGGAAGAACUCCCAGCCAGAGAUGAUCUUCAUGGGGCCAAAGGAGAGCCUCCAGGCAAUGAAGACAUGACCUGUCCAUCUCCACUAUUCCUGGACUAAAGAGGGUGAUAAUGAAGAUUUUGACAGUCACACAGAUUAUCUCCACCAGGAAUUACCAGCUGCAUCAAGCUGAGGCCCCUACCCACCUUCACAGCUGGCGCCACUCUGAUCAAGAGAGAAUCCUCGCUGGCAUUCACAGAGAUUCUCCUUUGGUAAAACAAAAUUGAGCAAUCAAGAAGCAAGAAGGAAGCAAAGGAUGUAACCAAAGGGACACUCGCAGCGAUAGGAGCCAUCGGUAUUGAUGCACUGCCCAUGUUUACAGACAUCUGGUUCUUUGCACUCAUCCAUAUCUUAAGUAAAGGAUUAAAAAAAAGUGAAUAACAAG